GAUUAGCUUGUACCUUUACAGUCAUAGGUGGUCAGUGAAAUUAAAGCAAUAGCAAAUUCAAAGGGUGCAAGUUCAGGGAAUCCCUGCUACUGGUGACUUCUUUACUUUAUCCUAAUAAGAUAGGGAAAAAUCUUUACUAGAAGUUUUGAUGAUGAUACUUUUUCCAGGUAGAGCUUUACAAAAACAACUGUAUUGUAAAUGUCAGGGCAUUUUAUUGGUUACUAAUGGUGAUUUUGGUGCUCUGCAAAGAAAAAUGUCAUGUGUUAGAUGAGCAGGAAGUUUCAUGUUUUCACCCUUUGCAGAGGGUGAAAACACUUGCCAUACAAUUUCUGAAAUACACUUUGACUCUAGUUCUAUUUGUUGCUAUUUUAUUAUUAUGAUUGCUGGUAUUGUGUAAAUAGAAAAAGCAAUGGACUUUGCCACUUGAAUGUAGUUGUGAUGCUGGGUUGUAUUUUAUAGUUCUAAGUUCAAAACACCAUUCUAAGAUCUGAAAAAAAAAUAAGAAAUUCAGUUUAGCAAGAAAUCCAGGAGCCUUGGGUUUUUUGAAUAUUCUUUUCUACAGAUGGGAAGACCUGAACUUGUUAUUUUUWCAGUACAAGUAUAGAGAGAUUGUUAUAAACCUACCCCUCCUGGACAGGAGAAAGGCUUUUUGCUCUAUAAUCAGAAGAAUCCCAGUUGUGUUUUUCCUGUUCUGCUGCCAUUAGUGGUACUUUAUGUUUUCUUCAAAUAUGUAAUUUGUUAUUUAAAUGUUUAUAUUAAUUUUGCUUUCUUUGCUGUCAGAAGACCUGUCAUAACAGCUUUCUUGACACAUUCUGGCUAUACCCAUCCAGGUUCUGCUGUUGCCUACCUUUCUUUUUGAAGUUUACUUCAUGCAUGGUGUAGACUGUACUAUUCUUUUGUCACAUAGUAUUUGGCAGGGAAGAUUCCAGUUCUGUAUGCUGUGACCUGUUAGUGGCAUAAUUACUGAAGCAGUAGAUUACUGUGUCACAGUAGUACAGAAUUAAACUUAGCUAGAUCAUGAGUGCUUAUUGUUCAUAAGUAGAUGCUUAAUGGUAUGUGUGGUUAUUUAUUAAAUACAAUAUGACAGGCUAUUUGAAAAUAAAAUCGGUUGUGCUGCUAACUUAAUGGUGCUGCUGGAUAGACAUUGUUACAAGAAAAAUUCCAAGACAAAUUAUCAUGGAUCAUCUGUGAAAUUUGUCAUUGGGUUGGCAGGCUGAUACAUAGCAAACUAUAAAGGAACUGAAACUUCCUAUAAAUAAAUAUUUUUGUCUGCAGCAUUUUUCCUAAGCAUUGAGUAGCAAUGUAGAACUGACAGUUUCCUACUUUCCUUGUGUAAUAAUUUCUUUAGCUAUGUGGGUUUUUUUCCUGAAGGAUUUACAGUAAUAGGUGUAGCAAAAUAUAGUUUAAAAGGGUGGAUAUAAAAAGUAUUAUAAACAAGUUUAAUUCAUAUGCAGUCAAAUGUGUUUUACUAAUGUGGUUGUUACUCAAGAUUAAUUUGUAUGUUAUAGAGUAGACAAUAAAUUACAUUGGAGUAGCUGUAGUGCUAAUGAACUGCAGCUAUUGACAUUCAAUCUGUACCUAUCCUUACAAAUCUGCCUGUAAAAAAGGAGUGAAAAGUCCUGUGAUCUCUCUUCUCAGCUGGAUUUAAGACAGUUUUUGUUAGUGCUUAGUGAAAGUGCUAGCCUCAAAAAUGGUUCUUUAAGGRUAACAUCACUUUGCCACUUCAGCUUAAGGGUGUUAUCAGCCUUUACCUAAUUUCUGCAGUGGUACUUCUUCCUGCCUGCUGUGUCCCUUUGCUGGAGAUUACUGUUCCUGUACCAGGACUGGCAGGCUGUGCACGCUUCAUGCCAGAUCCAAGAGUUUAACCUGUUCGACCUCCAUCUGCACUUUGCACUGUGAAUAACAGUUGCUUGCACCCCAUUCCAUGGGUUCUGCUGUGCGGUUCAUUACUUCUGAUGCAAAAGCAGCAACAAACAGAUCCAGGGCUUGCUGGGAUAUACAUACCAUCAGGUAUGUAUAUCAUACCGUCAUCGUUCUUGUAAGUGUUUGACAAUCAUAGUUAUAGCAGGGGUAAUAAAAUCCAUAAAAAGCAACUAUAUUGGACAAGGAACAAUUAAGUGUUAAUAACAAUUAAAAAUUAAUUGUGAAGGGCUGAAGACAAGGUUAUUUUUUUUGUCCAUCUCUCAAGGAUGGUUUCAGCUGGCCAAAGAUUUUGCUGCCCCAAUUGGGUGGUGCUACCUACAUCUUGCAUCUCUUCAGUUAGGCAGUUGUUUCUGGGGAUCACGCAGCUCCACAAAAUGGAUAAGGUUGCUGUUUGCCUAAAAACAAAUAAUGUUUUUCUUUUUCAGAAUGUGAGUAAGCAAACUGUUCUGUUAUACUUUAUGGCCACACAGCUGCUAAUACCAACAAAAGGUASAAUGCGGGGACUGAGGUGCACGGAAAAAGACAGCUGGCAAAAGAAGACUCUUCAAAAUUUUCCUGCAGACUAAACUAUGAUUUUUCCAGAUUUGCCAUUCGGGAAGAACUAACUGGAAAUUGAGGUGAUGUGGUCAUACAAUAGACCAUCUCAUGAGAUGGAACAGUUUCAGUAAGAAAUGUGAGAUGAUGAGGAAGAUCACACGUGAAGGUCUAUUUCUGUAGGAAGAUGGAAGAUGCUGUGAGGAUUGAUCCAUGUCUGUUCCUGUCAGUGCCGGUUAGGUAAGGUGUGAAUGAACAUAUACAAGUAACCAAGUCACAGCUAAAAUGCAGAGUAGAUUUAUUUAAUUACCUUGUUCACAACUCAGGGUGGCAGAGACACACAGGGGCUUAGCUCAUCCUAGUGGGCAGGAGUGUCUCUGCCUGCCUCACUGCUACAAAAGGCUUUGUUUGUGGCUGUGAGAUUCUUCCUUCACAGGAAUUCCACUUAAAACAGGCAGAGGAUAAACCAUACUAGGCUUAAUAAAUGGACACUUUUUUUCCCCACACUGACAUCUUUAGAAUCCCAGCCGCAAGGUCACUUUAAGCAAAACUAUUAUUCCCUCUUCCUCACCAAAUCUUCUGGUUUUAACCUUUUCCUCCCAACAGGUAGUGUGCGGUAAGAUCUGGUACACAUUCCUUGAAUAACAGCAGAGCUCAGAAAAUAGACCAAGUUCCAGAGUGGUUCACUAACAAGGCAUUAAGGGCAACUUUCUGGUGAUUAAAGAAUAAGCGUAGAUUUCUGACAACAAGAAUAUUCUGUCAGUGUGGUUCUUUAACUUCCCAUUUAUUACAUUUUCAUUUUAACAAGUGUCUGUUCCCAAUGAUGUUAUGACUUAGUAGUGAAUUACUAACAGCAUGCAUAUAUCAUUAAUUACAAGCUAGGCGUUCUUUUCUCAUGGAAUGAGUAAAUUUUAUUCUCAAACCAAAUAUGUGAGAUUGCCAGUCUAGGCACUACCCUUCUCUUUAUGCAACCUCAGUUUCAGGUCUGCCAUCCCUUGUGUGCAAAAUUUACACUGCUAACAAAUUUCAAUAUUUAUAAUGAUUUGGCAAUGUUAGCAGCCUGUCCAUAGGAGAACMAUUUAACAGAUAUCAAUGUAAUCUCAGUAAUUAAUUAAUGAUCAGUAAAUCUUCUUUCAUCCAAGAAUGUUUAUUUAAGCCUUACUUAACAGGGUUACCAAAAGAUGUGCUCAGAAAUGAUACUUCAGGGUGAGCUAUCUGUUACAGCAGUGUUACAGCCAGAAAAGUGGAUGUACUGCACACUGAUUUAGGUGAGAGAUUGUAACUGCCAUCUGUGUUAAUCUUGUGGCCAAGCACAUGAAAUUUAUGUUUCAGGAUACUUUAUACCUGAAACAGCUACCUUUGUUCACUCUCAUUGCAGGGAAUAAGUGUUUUAUUUUCUUUAUCAGUCUUACUGUAUAGUUUCCUGAAUCUUGACUGCCUUAAACUCAUACCAUGUAUGAAGAAGCUUGCAAAACUUGUGGAAAAAAAUUACACUUCUAGCUGACUCAAAAAAAAUUGCUGGACUUGCUUUUGUACUAGAAAAGAGAUGGUCAUCUGGUAGGCCUGUAAAGAAAUUAUAGAAUAAACUACUGUGGUGUAUUUAUCAUCAUGGCAAAAAUUAUAUGUGAAUGGACAUAAAGAAUAAUUUGAGGUAAUUUUUUUUUUAUCUUGCUGUCUGCUUGUAGCAAUGGAAAAGCUUUUUAUUAUUUGCAGCAUCUAGGAAACAAUAUUUUCAGUGGAUAUGAACAGUAUUCUCUAACUUAGCAGCUUUCAGUAAAGGAAGGUAAUAAUGGAUACCCUUGAUUUUAAAUACUUUGUUAAAAUUGGGUGUACUUUUCUUUGCAAAGUUGGUGUAGUUGUGUUCUUUGAGUACAUAACACUGAGUAUGGUUGGUUCUUGACUCACACAUUGUGAACAGAUGUAGCCUGCUCCUUGCAAUUAACACAAUGACUAGUAUUUUUGACAAAAUAGCAGAGUGUAACUUGAUUAUUAGUGCUAGGUCAGGAAUGGUCUUUUCCAGUAUCUGUUACCAUUAGAGCUAUCACUCCUGCAUAAUAUUAAUUUUUAAGACUUCACAACAGAUACAGCAAAAUGGAUAUAUGAAAAAUGGGCUGUAUCUGGUUUCUUCAGAUUUAAGUAACAAAGUUCAAAUGAUUUUUUUCAUGUGCUUCAUGUAUUGGUAUAACAAUAAAUUAAAUGAAGCUAAUCCAUCAUGUGCAAUGAAAAAGGUUUUAAACUGAAUUUGAAAGUAAUGUGUUCUAGGAAACAUCCAAACCUAGAUUGUGUAGAGCRAUGAGGAGGAAAAAAAAGUUUGAAUUGCAGUUGAUGAUUGUUAUCGGGGCUGAGUUCAGUAGUACCCAAGGAAUUACAUUCAAACUAGCAUCAUAUAGUGACCUGAGAUUUGCUGAAGAAAGUUUCAGGUUAGUAAACA